rnacentral:rRNA from 1 species
UACGUAGGGUGCAAGCGUUGUCCGGAAUUAUUGGGCGUAAAGAGCUCGUAGGCGGUUUGUCGCGUCUGCUGUGAAAUCCCGGGGCUCAACCCCGGGCCUGCAGUGGGUACGGGCAGACUAGAGUGCGGUAGGGGUGACUGGAAUUCCUGGUGUAGCGGUGGAAUGCGCAGAUAUCAGGAGGAACACCGAUGGCGAAGGCAGGUCACUGGGCCGCAACUGACGCUGAGGAGCGAAAGCAUGGGGAGCGAACAGG